GACGAACGCUGGCGGCGUGCUUAACACAUGCAAGUCGAACGGAAAGGCCCUGCUUUUGUGGGGUGCUCGAGUGGCGAACGGGUGAGUAACACGUGAGUAACCUGCCCUUGACUUUGGGAUAACUUCAGGAAACUGGGGCUAAUACCGGAUAGGAGCUCCUGCUGCAUGGGGGGGGUUGGAAAGUUUCGGCGGGUGGGGAUGGACUCGCGGCUUAUCAGCUUGUUGGUGGGGUAGUGGCUUACCAAGGCUUUGACGGGUAGCCGGCCUGGGAGGGUGACCGGCCACAUUGGGACUGAGAUACGGCCCAGAGUCCUACGGGAGGCAGUAGUGGGGACUAUUGCCCAAUGGGCGGAAGCCUGAUGCAGCAACGCCGCGUGCGGGAUGACGGCCUUCGGGUUGUAAACCGCUUUCGCCUGUGACGAAGCGUGAGUGACGGUAAUGGGUAAAGAAGCACCGGCUAACUACGUG
rnacentral:rRNA from 1 species